rnacentral:lncRNA from 1 species
GGGUCGUCCCCAUACCCCAUCCGGUAUGGAUGCCAAAACACAUAAGGUCUCCAUACCCUGUCCGGUAUGAGAGACCACAUUCCCGGUAGGGUUCCCUACGGACCCGGUCCGUCCACCAUCUCCCAGGAUAUCUAGUCAGGCUGUCCACAUUAUCCAUUUAUCAAUUCACAUAACCUUUUUGCCUUUUUUCUUGAUCUCAAUCAUCCAAUCAUACACAACAUGUAAACCAGUAAUUGACACCAAACAAGACAACACAGUAUCGGGUUCACCAUAAUACAAACCAUAAUAAAAGAAACCAUGAUUCAUGCAUACAAGACCAUAAAAUAAUUACAUCAAACAUCAU